CCUUAAACGGUGAAACCGCGAAUGGCUCAUUAAAUCAGCUAUGGUUCCUUAGAUCGUACAUGCUACAUGGAUAACUGUAGUAAUUCUAGAGCUAAUACAUGCCACUAUGCCCUGACCCGCAAGGGAACGGGUGGAUUUAUUAGAACAGAACCAACCGGGAACGGCUUCGGUCGUUCCUGUUGCACUCUGUGAUGACUCUGGAUAACUUUACUGAUCGCAGUCGGCCUUGUGUCGGCGACGGAUCUUUCAAAUGUCUGCCCUAUCAACUUUCGAUGGUAGGUGAUCUGCCUACCAUGGUGAUAACGGGUAACGGGGAAUCAGGGUUCGAUUCCGGAGAGGGAGCCUGA
rnacentral:rRNA from 1 species